rnacentral:ncRNA from 1 species
CGGUUACAAAGGCAAAAUCAGUGAAAGCUGAUGACGCAAAACUAUAGGACCUAAAUUAUAAAUCAUUAAAUAUUUGUGGGGAUCCAUAAAACCAUCACUAUUUGAUAGUUCGAUUUAUAACAGGGUAGCCAGCGACCGGG